GCCGGAGUAGCUCAGCUGGUAGAGCAGCGCAUUCGUAAUGCGCGGGUCGGGAGUUCGAGUCUCUUCUCCGGCACCA
rnacentral:tRNA from 2 species